AAAAAUCUAUAAAAAAAAAUAUCGCAGGCGCACAAGCGCGUGCGCAAAGACAAGUACCAACUAAGUGAAAUUAUACGUAUACCAAAAGAUUAAUGCUACUUUUACCACAUUUGUAUACCACAUUCUCAUACCAUCUUAUGUGACAGAUGAGAUGAACAGCUACAUCAAUUACAAUUAUUUAAUAUUUUCUUUUCUUUUAUGAUUUAUUGACACUUUAAAAAAAAAGUGUUAAUUAAACUUUCUUUAUUAAAAUACACCUCAUUGAUUUAAGAGCUCUUUAGUUUUAACCCAUAAAAAACUUAACUAAUUUGGAAGAAAGAUAAUUAAUUUUGCUUAAUUAAUAUAAAACCAAAUCCACCUAAUUUUACCAAAAGGACAUCCAACAACCCUAAAAUUACUACAUGUGUCAUUGUGCUUAACUUUCAAAUACAGUUUAUUUAAUUAUAAACCAAAACUUAAAACUAUCGAAACGACAUAACAUUCCCACAAAACACAACACAAAACGACACUACUCAAAUUUAAUCACUUCAAAAACUGGUUUCGCGCGACCUUUCAUAUCCCACUGCAAGCCUACAAACUAUUCUCCAAAAACGAAGACGACGAGCAACGGCGACGACGACCAACGACGACGAGCAACGACCACCGAC
rnacentral:lncRNA from 1 species